rnacentral:rRNA from 1 species
UACAGAGGUCCCAAGCGUUGUUCGGAUUCAUUGGGCGUAAAGGGUGCGUAGGCGGCGCGGUAAGUCGGGGUGUGAAAUCUCGGAGCUUAACUCCGAAACUGCAUUCGAUACUGCCGUGCUUGAGGACUGGAGAGGAGACUGGAAUUUACGGUGUAGCGGUGAAAUGCGUAGAUAUCGUAAGGAAGACCAGUGGCGAAGGCGGGUCUCUGGACAGUUCCUGACGCUGAGGCACGAAGGCCAGGGGAGCAAACGGGG